ACGGGGGGAGCAAGCGUUGUUCGGAUUUACUGGGCGUAAAGGGCGGGUAGGCGGCCACCGCAAGUCGACUGUGAAAUCUCCGGGCUUAACUCGGAACGGUCAGUUGAUACUGCUUUGCUAGAGUGCAGAAAGGGCAAUCGGAAUUCUUGGUGUAGCGGUGAAAUGCGUAGAUAUCAAGAGGAACACCUGAGGCGAAGGCGGGUUGCUAGGCUGACACUGACGCUGAGGCGCGAAAGCUAGGGUAGCAAACGGGA
rnacentral:rRNA from 1 species